GGCCUUUGAGGACUGCCCUUAUGGUGGUGCAUUGGAUCAGGGCCCGAAGGGACCCCCCUCAACUCUCCAGUGGCGAUCUUGCUACCUCCAUCUUUCUUAAAUGUGCGCAGUAUCUGAUGCUCCCAGCCAUUGCACUUACGCACCCACGAUGUCCUGUUUCGCAAUCUGCAAGAACACUAACGAUGAAAAACGGUUCCCACAAAAACACACACACACAUACAGAGAAUACUGAUAACUGACCAGAAGCUGCCAUUAGAAGGAGCACGCAGAGGGUGACUACAGCAACUACGUGGCCAAGCUUAGAAUUGGAAGCCAUGAUCGCCAGAAUGGAAGGCCCUCACAGAAGUAUCGGAAGGUGCAACUGCGUGGUUGAGCGGAGACAUGCUUCUGCAAUAUAUAGAGAAGUUAUGGCAAACUUUGCCCCAAGAUGCUCUCAAAUGAUUGCUCAUGCAGCCAUUUCUGGAGAUAUGAUUUGAGACUGGCUUAACUCAUAGAUUUGGAGAGAGAGAGAGAGAGAGAAGAUUUGACUGUGUUGACAUGCAAUUUGCUGUGAUGUGGCCACUGUGGCGACGGCGCCGCUUUCGAGUACUGGCCUUGCCGUCACCGCCACGUCACUCUCCUCAGGGGGGUCUCAUUGAAGUACAGCUUGGCGAGCUGUGAGACCCACCUGGGAACAGAUGCUGUGAUGACGUCGGUAGGGGAUGGAUGGAAUGUGAUGGCGGCUCGUUGUCAAAUACAGACCGUACGAUCCUAUGACUUUUGCACUUGAUAGUCAACCGGUGAUUCGAUCCCAUUUUUGGAGGGUAAUGUGAUGUCUUUGGUGUGACAUCUUCCUGGCGCUACCGAUUUGGUUGUCGUCUCCUUUAUUGUUUUGACAGUGGGAAGCUGCUGCUAAUGAUGGUCUUUGAUCUCGUUUGUUGUAAAAGGAUCUUUUCAACAGAGCAAGAAGCUCUCUUCAGACACUUGACAAGAAAGGACACCUGGGAAUGUGAUUGAGUGAUGGGAUCUUCUUCUGUACAUGCUCAUGUGGUUGGCUGGAGAAGAUGCUGUUGCAGGAAAAAAGGUGAUUUCCC